GAGGGGAGUAUCCAAACAACAAGAACUGCUAACUCUUGCCUCUGAGCUUAGACCCUCAGUCCCCUUA
rnacentral:tRNA from 1 species